rnacentral:rRNA from 1 species
UCAUACCGAACCUUGUGAUGCUAAGCGCCUGAAGCGUUGGUGAAGUCUUCGGACGGACCCGGCGUGGAGCGCGCGACCCGAGCACGUAGUAGGUAAGCAAUGGAGAGACGCAGGAAGGUAGCCUCCGCGUGGCGAUGGUAGUCCACGUCCAAGGGUGUAGGGCGAGGUGUAGGCAAAUCCGCACCUCACAUAGCCUGAGACCUGAUAGUGACCGCAUCAGCGGGAAGCAGGGUGAUCCUAUGCUGCCAAGAAAAUCUUCUAGCGAGGUUCUAGCCGCCCGUACCCCAAACCGACUCAGGUGGUUAGGUAGAGAAUACCAAGGCGAUCGAGUGAAUCGUGGUUAAGGAAUUCGGCAAAAUACCCCCGUAACUUCGGGAGAAGGGGGGCCCAGAGGGUGAAGAAGACUUGCUCUUCUAGCCUGAACGGCCGCAGAGACCAGGGAGAAGCGACUGUUUACUAAAAACACAGGUCCGUGCCAAGUCGCAAGACGAUGUAUACGGACUGACGCCUGCCCGGUGCUGGAACGUUAAGGGGACCUGUUAGCCUCACGGCGAAGCUGAGAAUUUAAGCGCCAGUAAACGGCGGUGGUAACUAUAACCAUCCUAAGGUAGCGAAAUUCCUUGUCGGGUAAGUUCCGACCUGCACGAAUGGCGUAACGACUUCUCCACUGUCUCAACCACGAACUCGGCGAAAUUGCACUACGAGUAAAGAUGCUCGUUACGCGCAGAAGGACGGAAAGACCCCGGGACCUUUACUACAGCUUGGUAUUGGUGUUCGGUACGGCUUGUGUAGGAUAGGUGGGAGACUGUGAAGCUGAUACGCCAGUAUCGGUGGAGUCAACGUUGAAAUACCACUCUGGUCGUUCUGGAUAUCUAACCUCGGUCCGUGAUCCGGAUCAGGGACAGUGCCUGGUGGGUAGUUUAACUGGGGCGGUUGCCUCCUAAAAGGUAACGGAGGCGCCCAAAGGUUCCCUCAGCCUGGUUGGCAAUCAGGUUUUGAGUGUAAGUGCACAAGGGAGCUUGACUGUGAGAGUGACAACUCGAACAGGGACGAAAGUCGGGACUAGUGAUCCGGCGGUGGCUUGUGGAAGCGCCGUCGCUCAACGGAUAAAAGGUACCCCGGGGAUAACAGGCUGAUCUUGCCCAAGAGUCCAUAUCGACGGCAUGGUUUGGCACCUCGAUGUCGGCUCGUCGCAUCCUGGGGCUGGAGUAGGUCCCAAGGGUUGGGCUGUUCGCCCAUUAAAGCGGUACGCGAGCUGGGUUUAGAACGUCGUGAGACAGUUCGGUCCCUAACCUCUGCGCGCGCAGGAAACUUGAGAAGGGCUGUCCCUACUACGAGAGGACCGGGAUGGACGAACCUCUGGUGUGUCAGUUGUUCUGCCAAGAGCACCGCUGAUUAGCUACGUUCGGAAGUGAUAACCGCUGAAAGCAUCUAAGCGGGAAGCAUGCUUCAAGAUGAGGUUUCCAUGGGGUUUACCCCGAGAGGCUCCCAGCUAGACUACUGGGUUGAUAGGUCGGAUGUGGAAGUGCGGUAACGCAUGGAGCUGACCGGUACUAAUAAGCCGAUAACUUGUC